AGCAUAUGACUACUGGCAGGAUCAACCAGGUAGCAUUCCUCAUCGACGCCGAUCACCGCAUGAGCCGAGCUAUCAAACUCGGCCAAAACGGGAACGGACGUCGUCCGCAUGAAGCGUAGAACGCUCUUAUUUUCGGGGCAAAUAGAGGUCGAGGACCUCGUACCGCAUCGCUAUUCCGCAUCCAAAAGAACGAGCAUAACGACAUGGGCCAACGCAGACGAGCGCCCGAGAGCGCACGAAUCGUGGAUCACAUCGAAUGCUUCGGUGUCCACCCCGCACCGCAUCCCUAAAAGGCGCAGCACAAGGAGGAAUAGGGACAUUGGGACUGUAUCAUGCCUUCUCGAUAGGUAUAAAACACAGGAAACCGACGUCGGUCAAGGCAAUCCGCAACUUGAGCCAACAAUUGAAAAGGCAUGCACGAGAUGCCGUCG
rnacentral:misc_RNA from 1 species